rnacentral:lncRNA from 1 species
UGGCUUCCUAUUGAAACGGGGCUCAUGGGAUUUUUUUUUUUCGUUUGUUUGUCCAUCAGCUUCCUCCACUGGACAACUUCAAGAUCUGACUUCUGUUAACGUAGGUAACAAGAAAAAUGAAUUGGCCUACUGGUGCUCCCUGAGAAGGACAGGCAUGAAAGCUCAGCCACCGUGUUUUCUCCUCGGCUGCCGCUGGCCAGCCAGCAGUGAACCUCUGGACUACUCACGGCACACGCUCAGUCUUGCCAGCUGGCAGCCCAAAAGGUUUCCAAAGACCUGUUUGAGGGCUACAUGGAUCCUCCUGUUGCAAAGUGGACUUUGCUCCCUACCAGCUUACCUGUCCAAAAGCUACGUUUCUUGAGACUGACAUAAUGGAAAAGCUUCAACUUCGGAAAGGUCGGAAAGCUAAACACAAAGUGGAGCUCUAACUGCG